rnacentral:lncRNA from 1 species
AUGGAGAUGCACCGUUGCACACAUAGAUCUUGAUGUGAGUGAUUAGGCCUACUAGCUCGGGCCUAAUCAUAUUAGGUUGUGGUCCAUGAUCAUCUGGUGUGAUUGCUUAUACACAUACUAGAUAUGUAUAUAUAUUUGCAUGCGAUGUAGAUAUAUAUUAAAUAUGUACAUGUGUGACAUGUCAUAUUAGGAGACCAAAUCAU